GACGAACGCGGGGGGCGUGCUUAACACAUGCAAGUCGAACGGUGAAGCGCCUUCCUUUUGGUGGGUGGGUGAGUGGCGAACGGUGAGUAACACGUGAGUAACCUGCCCCCUUUUCGGAUAACCGCAUGAAAGUGUGGCUAAUACGGGAUAUUCUGGGUCUGUCGCAUGAUGGGUCUGGGAAAGAUUGCGCCUUUGGGUGUUUUUGGUGGGGGAUGGGCUCGCGGCCUAUCAGCUUGUUGGUGGGGUGAUGGCCUACCAAGGCGGUGACGGGUAGCCGGCCUGAGAGGGUGGACGGUCACACUGGGACUGAGACACGGCCCAGACUCCUACGGGAGGCAGCAGUGGGGAAUAUUGCACAAUGGGCGCAAGCCUGAUGCAGCGACGCCGCGUGAGGGAUGGAGGCCUUCGGGUUGUGAACCUCUUUCGCCAGUGAAGCAGGCCUGCCCCUUGGUGGGUGGGUUGACG
rnacentral:rRNA from 1 species